rnacentral:tRNA from 1 species
UCCGAUGUAGUCUAGUGGUUAUGAUUUGCGGCUCUCACCCGCAAGGCCCGGGUUCGAGUCCCGGCAUCGGAA